rnacentral:lncRNA from 10 species
CAUUUCCAACAAGAGCACUGGCCAAGUCAGCUUCUUCUGAGAGAGUCUCUAGAAGACAUGAUGCUACACUCAGCUUUGGGUCUCUGCCUCUUACUCGUCACAGUUUCUUCCAACCUUGCCAUUGCAAUAAAAAAGGAAAAGAGGCCUCCUCAGACACUCUCAAGAGGAUGGGGAGAUGACAUCACUUGGGUACAAACUUAUGAAGAAGGUCUCUUUUAUGCUCAAAAAAGGUAACAUGCUUCUCAGCUCAUUUUUUUCCUUUUAUUUGUAGUAGACUCAUAAUAAUUGUACAUAUUUAUGGAAUAUAGAGUGAUAUGCUGAUACAUGUACACAAUGUGUAGUGAUCAAAUCAGUGUAAUUAGCAUAUGCAUCACCUGAAACAUAUCAUUUCUUUCUGGUGGGAACACUCAAAAUCCUCUCUACUAGCUUUUUAAAUAUAUACAAUAAACUAUUGUUAACUGUAUGUACCCUAUAGUGCUGUAGAAUACUACUCAAACUUAUUCCUCCUAUCUAGCUAUAUUUUUGCAUCUAUUAAUCAACCUCUCCUUAUCCUUCCAGCUCUGAACCCUCCCCAGCUUCUAAUAACCAGAGUUC